rnacentral:ribozyme from 1 species
CAUAUAACUCCGCCUGUAGCUCUUAUAGGGUUGCUGCCGGUCCCAAGCCCGGGUAAAGGAGGAGGGUUGG